UACAGAGGGGGCAAGCGUUGUUCGGAAUUACUGGGCGUAAAGGGCGCGUAGGCGGCCCGCUAAGUCGAACGUGAAAUCCCUGAGCUCAACUCAGGACGUGCCUUGGAAACUGUAUUACUAGAGUGCUGGAGAGGUCCGCAGAAUUCCCGGUGUAGCGGUGAAAUGCGUAGAGAUCGGGAGGAAUACCAGAGGCGAAGGCGGCGGACUGGACAGUCACUGACACUCAACUACGAAAGCGUGGGUAGCAAACAGG
rnacentral:rRNA from 1 species